rnacentral:rRNA from 1 species
UCGAUUUGGAGUUUGUUGCCCUGAGUGAUGGGCUCCGAAGCUAACGCGAUAAAUCGACCGCCUGGGGAGUACGGCCGCAAGGUUAAAACUCAAAUGAAUUGACGGGGGCCCGCACAAGCGGUGGAGCAUGUGGUUUAAUUCGAUGCAACGCGAAGAACCUUACCUGGUCUUGACAUCCACAGAAUCUUGCAGAGAUGCGAGAGUGCCUUCGGGAACUGUGAGACAGGUGCUGCAUGGCUGUCGUCAGCUCGUGUUGUGAAAUGUUGGGUUAAGUCCCGCAACGAGCGCAACCCUUAUCCUUUGUUGCCAGCGGUUUGGCCGGGAACUCAAAGGAGACUGCCGUUGAUAAAGCGGAGGAAGGUGGGGACGACGUCAAGUCAUCAUGGCCCUUACGACCAGGGCUACACACGUGCUACAAUGGCGUAUACAAAGGGAUGCGACCUCGCGAGAGCAAGCGGACCUCACAAAGUACGUCUAAGUCCGGAUUGGAGUCUGCAACUCGACUCCAUGAAGUCGGAAUCGCUAGUAAUCGUGAAUCAGAAUGUCACGGUGAAUACGUUCCCGGGCCU